GGAUAAUCUGACCUUAGGUGGAGCAUAACCUCGGGAAACUGAGAAUAAUACUCCAUAGAUCUUUGAGGCUGGAAUGCGCUUAGAUUGAAAGCUUCGGCGCCUAAGGAUGAGUCUGCGGACUAUCAGGUAGUAGUCAGGGUAAAGACCUGACUAGCCUACGACGGAUACGGGUUGUGAGAGCAAUAACCCGGAGAUGAUAUCUGAGACACGAUAUCAGGCCCUACGGGGCGCAGCAGGCGCGAAAACUUCACAAUGCGCGAAAGCGCGAUGAGGGGAUCCCAAGUGCUUGCACGUAAGUGUAAGCUGUUUUUCUGUCUAAAAAGCAGAGAGAGUAAGGGCUGGGUAAGACGGGUGCCAGCCGCCGCGGUAAUACCUGCAGCCCAAGUGGUGGCCGUUAUUAUUGGGCCUAAAACAUCCGUAGCCGGCUGAGUAAAUGCCUGGGUAAAUCGUGUGGCUUAACCAUACGAAUUCCGGGUAGACUGCUCGGCUUGGGACUGGAAGAAGUUAGAGGUACUCCUGGGGUAGGGGUGAAAUCCUGUAAUCCUGGGGGGACCACCAGUGGCGAAGGCGUCUAACUAGGACGGGUCUGACGGUGAGGGAUGAAGCCCUGGGGCGCAAACCGGAUUAGAUACCCGGGUAGUCCAGGGUGUAAACGCUGCUUGCUUGAUGUUAGCUGGGCUCCGAGCUCGGCUAGUGUCGGAGAGAAGUUGUUAAGCAAGCUGCCUGGGAAGUACGGUCGCAAGACUGAAACUUAA
rnacentral:rRNA from 1 species